UUCAUAUUCGCUAAUUAGGAGAUAUCCUUUUCUUGCAAAGUAUUUUGAGCCACACUUGAUCAGUUAAAAUUAAUUAACUAUUACAGUGCUGCAUGAAUCUACUUCUAUAUCUUUAUUAUCAAAGUCUAUAUAAACUAUACGUACUUGAAUAUUAUCAAAUUUCAUUUUCAUUUUGCAUAUUUUAUUGAAAUAUUGGUAAGGUUUUGGUUUUUUUUUUUAUUUCUAGGAGGAUCACCAUGGUGUAUUACAGAUUGAGAUUCCAAAACACAGAUCUUCAGUAUCGGAUAUAUUUGUACAUCUGGAACAAAUAAAACAUCAAUACAACAUCAUGCAUUACUCCGUUUCACAAACAACGCUUGACAAUGUGUUUUUGAAUUUUGUACGGGAUCAAAAUGAUGGUGUAGUACCAGAAAUAUAUGAAUCAAGUUCCGAAGGAAGUACCUCGGGAGACACGUGGAAUGAAGGUUCUUCAGAGGCCUUUACUAAUCCUCACUAUGCUUACAAUAAUGAUGGUUUUACAACAGAAAAAGACUCUCUUCCUGUCAGAUAUAAAGACUACAACAAAGAUGGUAGACAUAGUCCCCUUUAUGCUACAAAAAUGUGAUUUUUAUUCAGUGCAAAGCCAAAUAAAAAUGUUUUUUUCAGUGACAUGGUUUCAAAAAAGUUUUUUGUAUGAAAUUUACAAACAAUUUUGCUAGCAAUUUAGUUUCAUAAGAGGGCAUUUAAAGAUAUUUUUCUUCUUUGAAAUGUGAUUUUACCAAAGAAAUAAGAAUAUAAAUUGUAACAGUCAAACAUUAUACAAUGUGGUAAAAAUAAUCCAUUAAAAUACAGUAAAACACAUGCCAACCAAACUUUCAUAAUUCAAAAUCUAUGUUUUUGAUAUCAGGACAAAGAAUGAGUUUAAUUUGUGUAAACUGAAUUGUCUAUUUUAGAAUAUUAUGCAUUCUGGGUAAUAUAUUUGAAAGCCUUCACAAAACAUUAUGGUUGGUUAUAAAUGUCCUAAACAUUGGAAAUUUAGCCAAUGACGGGAUGUUAUUCUCAUUUUGGGGUACAAAUAAUGAAAUUACCCAUAAUCCUUUACAUUCUGAUAUAAUUUAUCCCUGUCUAAUCAAAACAAAACCUCUUGUCAUGAAGGGUUUCAGUUGAGCAAGUUUAAUGGUAACAAUCGGUAAAUAACUGUACAUUGAAAAUUGAACUAAAUAUUUCCUAACUAACAAAUAUAAAUAUAUUUUUUUUCAAGGUUUCCAAUGAGAUUGAGCUUUGAGUGUCAGUUAGCUAACAUGUUAUAGACCAGUGAACUUUUAACUAAACUAAAUUUAUUUUUUAUUUACAUAUAAAUAAAUGAUAUCUAACUAAAAUUAAGAUUUCCUGACUUUCUUGUAUUAUCCACAAAUUUCAGCCAUAAAAAUCUGACAACUGAAAAUGAGAAAUUAUCUACAUAAAUGGUGUUACUGUGGUUAAAUUAUAUAUUAACUUAUAUUAUUUAACCAUAUGCUAUAGAUAUAAGGAGAAUCUUUGUUUUUAUUUUAUUAUACUUCUUAAUUUGACCAUUGUUUUGUUCAUGACGGAAUUUUUUUAUGCAGUUUUGUGCUUGUUUUUUACUUGACUUGUAGCAUGAGAUUAUAAUAUAUAUAUUUAUCUAUGUUUUUCUAUUAAAAGUAAACAAUGCAAGUGAACUUUUGUUUUAUACACUUUUUAUCAAUGCAAUACAUGAAAUAUCUAUUUAUGGUUGUUGUUUUUUUGUCUUCACUAAAUAUAAAUAAGGAUAAGAAAAACAUUUUGUUUUCUAGUAUAUUUCUAUUUUCAAUUUAGGCCAUACUUAAAAUGUUUCUAGAUUUUCCACGGACCUGCACAAUUUUCAUUAUUCACUUUUUUUACCAUUUGAUACAAAAAACCUGGGAAACAGUUUUUUAUACAAGAAACAAAAACACAAUAAAAUGUAAAAUUUGGCGAACUGCUCCACAUUUAAUCUGUUAAUAACACAGAUGUGUGUAUUAACAGAUUAAAAGUGUGGGUAAAGAAAAGGGCUUUACAAGCACGGAGUGUUUUUAAUAACCAAAUAUUUUGUCUUUUUAAAGCCUCCAUAGGAUAGUUCAUAUCAAUGCAAGAUUAUUUUUUAUUUUUUGAAAUAUUUAUAUUUCCUUGUUAUUGUUGGUUGUUAUUGACAACAUGUCUUUUUUUUUAUUCCAAUGCAAAAUGUCAGUCUGGUGCAAAAUAACUUAUAUUUUAAAUAUAUGUUAAUUUCUGUUUAUUAUAUCGUGUAUGUGUUAUUGAUAUUUCAUUGCAUUAGAAAUAUAUAACAAGUUAUCUAUGUUUAAAAAUAAAAGUAGAUUUCUUAAAUUUAUAUCGUAGAAAGCCUAGUUUUGUACUCUAAUAAACUUAGUAUGCAUACAAAGAGACCAUUCUUUAAAGAGAUUUCAUAGAAGAGUUGUGAGCUUUCAAUAUUAGUGUAUCUUUUUUAUGCUUAAUAGGCGACCAUUAUUGAAAGAGAUUUCAAAUCAGAAUUGCUAGCUUUAAAAAUAUCAUAUAUACUUUUUUGUGUGCAAUAAAAGAAUUUGACAUUCCACAGCUUUACAAUGACAGACUUUAUUUUUUUGCAAAUUAACUCACAUAAAUAACAUUUGAUCUGUUGAUCUGUGACAUCCAACUUCCUCUCUUGUUUGUGACAGAAAUUUAAUGGGGAGGGGGGGGGGGGGGGAAUAUUUCACAUUAUUAAGUACAAAGUUGAACGUUCAUCUACUGCAAGGGGUAAACCAUUGAAUCUAGUAACAGACGAAAUUAAUGGGAAAACAAUAUCCUUCAUAUAAUUAUGUACAAAGUUGAAAUUCAUAUAUUUAACAUGUUUAAGGGGUAAACUAUUGUAUUAGUAACAGACAAAAUUAAUGGGAAAAUAUCUAGUUCCUGUAAUAGGAGAAAACUAGAAAUACACAUAUUGAAAGGGUAAGCUAUCAGGGAGCUACCAUUUGAUUUUUAGGGGAGGGGGGGCUAGGAUGAAAUUUGAAAAUAAAAGGCAGGACAGGAGUUUUGAGUAAAAAAAAAAGGCAGGAUGAGCAACUUGGCAAAAAAAAAGGCAGGAUAAACUAAUAAUAAAAAAAUGCAGGACCAAAAAAAGAGUGAAAAUUAAAAAGGCAGGACAGAGAUAACAACUAAAAGAAAAUGCAGGACAAAAUUUUUCCUCCCCCCCUCCCAUAAAAAUCAAAUGGUAACUCCCGUUUGUCCUCAUCCUUGACACAUAAUCAAAUAUAACCAAGAAUUUUAUCAUACUUCAUCAUCCAUUUUGUCUCAAAGUCUGUGAUAAUAUUGUUCAUGAUACAUAAUUUGUUAUGAAAUACUGUUUAACACUUAGCAGAUUAAUUAUUCAAUUUGAUAUAACAUUUUAAUUUAACCAUAAUAUAUACGUAUAUUUUCAACUUCCCAAAUAUUUUAAUCUCCAGCUUACUGGGAGGAAGGAUAUAGCAAAAGUCUGUUCCUCCGUCCUUUUAAAAUUUCUUGUUUACACAAUAAUUUGAGUAAAACUGACUGCAAAUAAAAUUAUUUUGAAAGAACAUUAAAUGAAAGUUAUUAGUCAAAUAUUUUGGUGGAAAAUCCUAGCUUGGAACUGAAAACUUUUUAUUAGAAUUUGCUGCAUUUCAAGUUUUUUUUGUAUGACUGCUGUAAAUCUGUAUUCGAUGCAUAUUUAUGUUUUUGGCAGUUUAUUUUACUUUGAGUCUUUUUUAUUCUGUAUGUUUAAUUAUUUUUGUGAAAUUGUUAAAGUUUAACCUGUUAUUUCAUUCUGAUUUUAAGCAUUUUGAAAGAGGAAAUACCUUUUAUUAAAGAUAUACUCAUUUAUUAUGUAAAUACUCAGACUUAAAAAAAAUGUACAAGGUUUUUUUUUCAAUCGCUUCCAUUCUUAAAUACCCAAAUAUUUUAAGAGAUAAACAUGUUAAAGUAAGAACUUUCAGUCAGCUGAAAUAAUAGUGAUCUAUAAUUACUUUCAUUCACAUCAUUUGGACUCAUUGGCAAUCAUACCAUAUUUCCAUAUUUUUAUAUUAUGUAUCUAUGAGUACAUGUGUAUCUUUGUGGUUGUGGUGGUCAAAUAUAUUGUCAUUCUAUCUUGAUCACUAAACAAACUCUCAUGAAACAUUCAGCAUUUGUCAUUGCAUAUCAUUGUAUUUCUCAAUGCUUUCAUCAACCCAUAGAGUUUCAAGAUUGAAAUGUUUAUAUUUGAUUUGUUUUUUAUACAAUCUGACCAUAUUGUUUGAUAGAUGCUUAUAUUAUAUUAGUUACUUUAUAUAUUUAUAAAUAAAUAAAUGACUUUCAAUAUA